AUUCUUCUUCAGUCUGGCUUCCUUGAACUAGCUGAAGAGAUUUCCGAGGCACCUUCAGUCAUGAGGCUUCUUUUCCUAGCCUUUGCAUUGCUGCUUCUCUUCCAUGCUUCUUCAGGGCAACUUAUAGAUUGUCGGAAGGAUGGUGGUUUCUGUCAGACAGGCCUCCACAAACUUUGCGAGCAUGGAAGUCUUCCAUACAACUGUGGCAUUAAUGCCAAGUGCUGCAAGCGUAACCCGUGAAAGUACCAAGGACAAGCGCUUGUGAAACACUGGGAGGCUGUUGCCAUGUUCCAUAAGAAGAACCUUGCCCCUCUCGGGUGGCAU